rnacentral:sRNA from 1 species
CGUAAUGAAAAAUGCCAAACCAAUGUUAU